GGAAACUGUUGAGGGCCACAGGGAUGUGACUGAAUGGAACAGCUGCAAGCUUUUGGGAGUGAAGAGAUUUCGACGUUCCACAUAAAAAGUGUGCUGUUCAGAUGGCGUCAACAUGGAGCAACAAUACAGACAUGUCGGUACUAGACUUUGGCUGAUGGGAAGAUGGUGAAACUAGUUAAAGAUUUGAAUUAGCAGCCUUCAUUUAACUUGACAAUGAAAUAUGAAAGAUGACUUGGGGAA